rnacentral:rRNA from 1 species
AGUGUAGUUAAUAGCUGCAUUAUUUGACGUUAGCGACAGAAGAAGCACCGGCUAACUCCGUGCCAGCAGCCGCGGUAAUACGGAGGGUGCGAGCGUUAAUCGGAAUUACUGGGCGUAAAGCGCAUGCAGGUGGUUUGUUAAGUCAGAUGUGAAAGCCCGGGGCUCAACCUCGGAAUUGCAUUUGAAACUGGCAGACUAGAGUACUGUAGAGGGGGGUAGAAUUUCAGGUGUAGCGGUGAAAUGCGUAGAGAUCUGAAGGAAUACCGGUGGCGAAGGCGGCCCCCUGGACAGAUACUGACACUCAGAUGCGAAAGCGUGGGGAGCAAACAGGAUUAGAUACCCUGGUAGUCCACGCCGUAAACGAUGUCUACUUGGAGGUUGUGGCCUUGAGCCGUGGCUUUCGGAGCUAACGCGUUAAGUAGACCGCCUGGGGAGUACGGUCGCAAGAUUAAAACUCAAAUGAAUUGACGGGGGCCCGCACAAGCGGUGGAGCAUGUGGUUUAAUUCGAUGCAACGCGAAGAACCUUACCUACUCUUGACAUCCAGAGAACUUUCCAGAGAUGGAUUGGUGCCUUCGGGAACUCUGAGACAGGUGCUGCAUGGCUGUCGUCAGCUCGUGUUGUGAAAUGUUGGGUUAAGUCCCGCAACGAGCGCAACCCUUAUCCUUGUUUGCCAGCGAGUAAUGUCGGGAACUCCAGGGAGACUGCCGGUGAUAAACCGGAGGAAGGUGGGGACGACGUCAAGUCAUCAUGGCCCUUACGAGUAGGGCUACACACGUGCUACAAUGGCGCAUACAGAGGGCGGCCAACUUGCGAAAGUGAGCGAAUCCCAAAAAGUGCGUCGUAGUCCGGAUUGGAGUCUGCAACUCGACUCCAUGAAGUCGGAAUCGCUAGUAAUCGUGGAUCAGAAUGCCACGGUGAAUACGUUCCCGGGCCUUGUACACACCGCCCGUCACACCAUGGGAGUGGGCUGCAAAAGAAGUAGGUAGUUUAACCUUCGGGGGGACGCUUACCACUUUGUGGUUCAUGACUGGGGUGAAGUCGUAACAAGGUAGCGCUAGGGGAACCUGGCGCUGGAUCACCUCCUUAAACGAUGAU